rnacentral:rRNA from 1 species
UCCGCCAAGGAGUGUGUAACAACUCACCUGCCGAAUGAACUAGCCCUGAAAAUGGAUGGCGCUCAAGCGGGCGGCCGACACCACGCCGUCUGGCAAACAAAUCACGGUCAGAUGAGUAGGAGGGCGUGGCGGCUGUGUCGAAGCGUGCCUGCAGAGGCCCGUGGAACAGCCGCUAGUGCAGAUCUUGGUGGUAGUAGCAAGUAUUCAAGCGAGAUCCUUGAAGGGCGAAGCGGGGAAGGGUUCCACGCGAACAUUGAUUGGGCGUGGGUGAGUCGUUCCUAAGCCGAGUGGCAAUUGCUAAGUAGCGGCGAAAGGGAAGCGGGUUGACAUUCCCGCACACGGAGGCGGAGGCGGUGACGCGUAUUGGGGCGAACACGCUGGCGAUGGCGCUGGGCAGAGUUCUCUUUUCUGUUUGACCUACCAGCACCCGGUGUGGAAUCCGCUUGUCGGGAGAAACACGCGUGUCGGGGCAGAGCGCCGGGCGUUUUCCGGCGUCCAGCUCGCCAUCGACGGCCCUUGAAACUUUGCCUGCUGAAAUUUAAUCUUGUUCUUAGUAAAGAUCCGCGCCGUGGCGUACCGAUCACCGCAUCAGGUCCCCAAGGUGAACAGCCUCUGCUCAGUAUGAACAAUGCAGGUAAGGGAAGUCGGCAAAUUAGACCCGUAACUUUGGGAUAAGGGUUGGCUCUAGUGCUGCGUGGGAGUGGUUGCCUAGUGUCGCCGGUUUUGGCCAACGCUGGCUAGGCGCGGGCGCCGCCCGCAAGGGAUGGCCCUGUUCCUGCUGCUUUCCCGAUUUCGGCGCAUUGGGCGACGCCCACAGCAUGCAGCAGACUAGAACUGCAACGGGCAAAGGGAAUCCGACUGUUUAAUUAAAACAAAGCAUUGCGAAGGCCGUGGCCGGUGAUGACGCAAUGUGA